GGCUGGGCGUUAUCCUAGGCAACAGAGUCGGGCGGUUACCCCGGAUGGGGGAGGUGGUGAAGGACUGGGACCAGGGAAUAGUGAGGCCCUUUUGACUAAAGAAAGGGGAAUGGUAUAAACUGAGGCCCAGAUGGUGAAGCCAGAUCUCAUGAGCCAUCCACUCAGUUUUUCCUUGUGUUCCAGUUUGGGUCCUGCUUGUCCAGUAUCCCGUCUGCGCCUGCUUCUUCUCUCUAACCAGUGAGAUCUGGAUUCGAGUCUCAGCUCAACAAGUGUGGACUUGGACGAAUUAUUGAACCUUCUUGAGUCUCUAUUUCACCUUGGAGAGAAGAUUCUUUGCAGAUGAUCUCUCAACUUCCCCCUUCUUAUGAAAACAAGGGCCUAGACGAGUGCCUGAUUCAUGAUUGGCCGACAAUAAACAUUUUUGAAUGAAUGAACAGAAU